rnacentral:rRNA from 1 species
AUUACACUGUUAUGUGGAUGACUCGGCUUGAGUUGCGAAGAAGGGCGUGGUAAGCUGCGAUAAGCGUAAGGUAGGUGCAUACAACCUUUGAACUUACGAUUCCUGAAUUGGACUUCCUAAAUACUUGUUAAUCAAGAGCUUACUGGGGGAACUGAAACAUCUUAGUACCCCAAGGAAAAGAAAUCAAAUGAGAUUCUGUUAGUAAUGGCGAAUGAAAGCAGACAAGGUCAAACUGAAUCCCUUAUAGUAAUAUAAGGGAGAUGUGGUGUUGUGGAGCUCUUUUUGUACCAAUAAAACAUGUCUGAACCUUUCUGAAAAGUUAGACUUUAGAGGGUGAUAGUCCCGUAGGAUAUGUUGCAUUGGACUUUAGAGAUUUCCAGAGUAGUGUCAAUUGGAAAUUUGGCAUGAAUAUGGGGGACAUUUACCUCCAAACCUAAAUAUACCUCAAGACCGAUAGCGAAUUAGUACCGUGAGGGAAUGUUGAAAAGAGGCCGUAAAAGGCCCUGAAAAGAUCUGAAACAUAACAGUUAUAGGAUGUAGCGGCGUUACGGCGUUGCUACGUACGUUCUGAAUAACGGACCAGGGAGUUUAUUUGUUUGGCGAGACGAAAGUCGUAGGGAAACCGAGUAGUCGCAAAUUUGAGGACUAGGGUGGUAAUACUGCCUUUAGUCAAACAGGUAAAACCCGAAACGAGUUGAUCUAUGCCUGGGCAGGCUGAAGCGGAAGUAAGAUUCCGUGGAGGGCCGAAGCAGUUCCGCGUCUAUUGGUUUGUGUGACCUGGGCAUAGGGGUGAAAAGCCAAUCGAAACUCGUGAUAGCUGGUUCCAGUCAAAAUUGGCCUUAGUCAAGUCUCACUUUAGAAUGUUACAGAGGUAGAGCUACGGAUUAGGGAAUCGGGGGAAGAAAUUCCUUCAUUUCUUAGUCCAACUCCGAAUGCUGUGACUUCGUAGAUAGUGGGAAACGGGAUUACACGGGGUAAACUUGUAAUCCGCGAGGGGAACAACCCAGAAUACAGUUAAGGCCCCUAAAUGAUAAUCAAGUGAUAAAGGGUAAAGGGUGUGAGUAUUCGAAGACAAAGAGGAGGUUUGCUUAGAAGCAGCAAUCCCUUAAAGAGUGCGUAACAGCUCACUCUUCGAGAGUAUUUGCCCCGAAAAUAAUCGGGUCUAAAUUAUCUGCCGAUACUGUAUUUCACGCUCACGGAGCGUGUAAGUUAGACUGGUGACGUGCAAGGGCAGAAGCUGGGCUUGAAGGUCCAGUGGACCUUGUAGGUAUAAGAAUCCUGGUGGUAGUAGGAAACAAGCGGUGUGAGAGUCACCGCGGACGAAUGGGCAAGGGUUCCUUCUCAAUGUAAAUCAGAGAAGGGUUAGUCAUUCCUAAUCGAGACCCUAACUGGGCUCUAUCGAGAAAGGGAAACAGGUUAAUAUUCCUGUACUGUCUUAAUAAAUAUGGCAACACAAGUACUAUUUCGGACGAUUUAGGCUAUCUGCUCCCAAACAUGUUUGGGUUAAGCUUUCAAAGUCAAUGGAGUGUGGUAAUCACGAGAAGUUGAGUAAGAAGUUAUGAGUAAUUUGCGGCGAUGCCUUGAUUCUUUGAAAACGAAAUAGUAUUAAUUUAAGAUAAAUGUACCCACAACCGGCACAGGUGCCCCUAGGUGAGAAACCUAAGUCCUGAAGGGCAAAUCUUUGUAAGGGAAUUCGGCAAAUUAGCCACAUGCCUUCGGUAUAUGUGGUCCCUGGACUAUCGAAUUUAUUUUUGGUAAUUUCAGGGUGCAAUUUCUAAGGCGGCCCGACUGUUUAACUAAAACAUAGCCAACUGCUAGUCAGUAAUGAUGUGUAUAGUUGGUGAAGUCUGCCCACUGCCAGUAACUAAAACCACUUUUCAAGGUGGCCAAGGUCUGGUAAAGGGCGGGGAUAACUAUGAUCCUCUUAAGGUAACGAAAUGCCUUGCCGUUUAAUUGACGGCUUGCAUGAAUGGCGUAACGAGGUCGCCACUGUCCCUACAAAGAACCCUCCGAACACACUAUCCCGGUGCAAAAGCCGGGGACUCCAAGUGGGAAGUAAAGACCCCGUUGAACUUUACUGCAGCCUGCUAUUGUGAUCAACUUUAUAAUGUAACAAGGAGCUUCGGCAACAAGGUAGAACUUGUUGUUAUGAAGUUGAUUGCUUAUCUCUAUAUGGGAAACAGUAGUUGGUGGGCAGUUUGGCUGGGGUGGCACCCUGUUGAAAAGGUAUCAACAGGGCCCAAAGGUCAGCUCAGAAGGUUUAGAAAUCCUUCGUAGAGUGUAAGAGCAAAAGCUGGCUUUAUUGUGAUUCACACAAUGCGAAUCGCAAUUACGAAAGUAUGGUCUAACGAUCUCCAAUGUGCUCCUAAAUGGGGCCUUGGAUUGACAGAAAAGUUACCACGGGGAUAACAGAGUUGUCGCUCCUGAGAGUUCAUAUCGACGGAGCGGUUUGCUACAUCGAUGUCGGCUCAUCCUAACCUGGUAGUGCAGCAGCUACCAAAGGUGGGGGUGUUCACCCAUUAAAAGGGUUCGUGAGCUGGGUUCACAACGCUGUGAGGCAGUUGGUAUAAUAUCUGCUUGGAGUGUAUAGUAUCUGCGAGAAAGAUGCAUUUAGUACGAAAGGAACGAUGGGUCGGAGCCACUGGUGUAUCUGUUGUCAAUAUUGGCAUGCAGAGCAGCUACGCUCUCGAGGAUAAAAGCUGAAAGCAUCUAAGCUUGAAACCUCCCUCUAAAAAAGAUACAUUGGCCUCUCAUAAAAGAUGAGUUUGAUAGGCUCGGGGUGUAAUUACGAAGCUCACGCGACGUAGUCAGCCCGCGAGUACUAACGGCUAUUUUGUAUGA